CAGUAGCCACGGUAAUACGUAGGCAGCGAGCGUUGUUCGGAAUUACUGGGCGUAAAGAGUGUGUAGGCGGUGCUCUAAGUUCGGUGUGAAACCUCCCGGCUUAACUGGGAGGGUGCGCCGGAAACUGGAAUGCUCGAACGUGGGAGAGGAAAGCGGAAUUCCUGGUGUAGCAGUGAAAUGCGUAGAUAUCAGGAGGAACACCUGCGGUGUAGACGGCUUUCUGGACCAUUGUUGACGCUGAGACACGAAAGCGUGGGUAGCAAACAGGAUUAGAGACCCCUGUAGUCCCUGUCUCUUAUAC
rnacentral:rRNA from 1 species